GACUUAAAAUCCGUCGAUUUUAAAAAUCGUGAGGGUUCAAGUCCCUCUAUCCCCA
rnacentral:tRNA from 1 species